rnacentral:misc_RNA from 1 species
UUUCCGUAGGUGAACCUGCGGAAGGAUCAUUAACGUAUCUCUGACGGUGAGGGUGCGCCCCGCUCCAGGACCGAAAGGCCUGUGCAGCGUGCGAGCCCGAUCCGCUCAACCCUUACAAACCCACCGUGCACAUUUGUCGGCGGAGGGCUCGGUCAAACGGGCCCCGAGCCGGACCCACAAACCCCAAGCAUUAAAAGAAUGACUAGCGGACGUUGUGCCGUCUAAACUUUAACAACUUUCAACAACGGAUCUCUUGGCUCUC